rnacentral:tRNA from 1 species
UCUAUAGCUCAGUUGGUAGAGCAACGGAUUCGUAACCCGUAGGUCGGCAGUUCGAUUCAG